CAGCGCGUACAUAAAAUACCGCAUGUCCAUUCCCCUGUCUGUCCUUCCGGACUUCUGGUUAAUUAGAUUUUUCAAGUGUACAAUUCUUGCCAACUUUCUAUAAAACUGAUAUCGUAUGGACACGUUCGAAAAUCAGUGCAUAUCAACUAUUCUUUAAAAGAGUUAUGCCAUUUGGAAAUAUUAAUUAUAUUGAAAAUUGCAUUGUAUUUUCUGUCAUUCCGUCAUUUCUCUAAUAUAUCUAUAAAAAAAUAAAGAAAAAAAUAAACAGCUGCGCUUCGAGCGCAUGAUACGCCCUUCGUCUUAUGAAAAAAAACCAACAUAAUAUAUGUUUUUAAAAUAACACGGGGG
rnacentral:lncRNA from 1 species